rnacentral:rRNA from 1 species
CGGGGUGGAGUAAUGUCUGGGAAACGUGCCUGAUGGAGGGGGGUAACUACUGGAAACGGUAGCUAAUACCGCAUAACGUCGCAAGACCAAAGAGGGGGACCGUUCGGGCCUCUUGCCAUCGGAUGUGCCCAGAUGGGAUUAGCUAGUAGGUGGGGUAACGGCUCACCUAGGCGACGAUCCCUAGCUGGUCUGAGAGGAUGACCAGCCACACUGGAACUGAGACAUGGUCCAG